AUUGAACGCUGGCGGCAUGCCUUACACAUGCAAGUCGAACGGCAGCACGGGGGCAACCCUGGUGGCGAGUGGCGAACGGGUGAGUAAAGCAUCGGAACGUACCCGGAAGUGGGGGAUAACGUAGCGAAAGUUACGCUAAUACCGCCUAUUCUGUGAGCAGGAAAGCAGGGGAUCGCAAGACCUUGCGCUUUCGGAGCGGCCGAUGUCGGAUUAGCUAGUUGGUGGGGUAAAGGCCUACCAAGGCGACGAUCCGUAGCGGGUCUGAGAGGAUGAUCCGCCACACUGGGACUGAGACACGGCCCAGACUCCUACGGGAGGCAGCAGUGGGGAAUUUUGGACAAUGGGCGAAAGCCUGAUCCAGCCAUGCCGCGUGAGUGAAGAAGGCCUUCGGGCUGUAAAGCUCUUUCGGCGGGGAAGAAAUCGCACUUACUAAUACUGAGUGUGGAUGACGGUACCCGAAUAAGAAGCACCGGCUAACUACGUGCCAGCAGCCGCGGUAA
rnacentral:rRNA from 1 species